rnacentral:rRNA from 1 species
GAUGAACGCUGGCGGCGUGCCUAAUACAUGCAAGUCGAACGCAUUGUGGUUGAAAUGAUAUGAAGAACUUGUUCAGAUUUGAUUUUCAACAUUGCAAUGAGUGGCGAACGGGUGAGUAACACGUGGGAAACCUACCUCUUAGCAGGGGAUAACAUUUGGAAACAAAUGCUAAUACCGUAUAAUAAUUAAAACCGCAUGGUUUUAGUUUAAAAGAUGGUCUUGCUAUCACUAAGAGAUGGUCCCGCGGUGUAUUAGUUAGUUGGUGAGGUAAUGGCUCACCAAGACAAUGAUACAUAGCCGAGUUGAGAGACUGACCGGCCACAAUGGGACUGAGACACGGCCCAUACUCCUACGGGAGGCAGCAGUAGGAAGUCUUCCACAAUAGGACGAAAGUACUGAUGGAGCAACGCCGCGUGUGUGAUGAAGGUUUCGGCUCGUAAAACACUAGUUGUAAGAGAAGAAU